UGUUCUGUAGCUUAGCUUGUUAAAGCGCCGGUCUAGCGAAUACGGAACCGUGGGUUCACAUUCCACCUGAACGG
rnacentral:tRNA from 1 species